AAUCAACGCUGGCGGCGUGCCUAACACAUGCAAGUCGAACGCGAAAGCCCGCAAGGGCAAGUAGAGUGGCGCACGGGUGAGUAACACGUGGACAACCUGCCUUCGAGUGGGGAAUAACCUUCCGAAAGGAGGGCUAACACCGCAUAACACCUCAGGACACAAGUUCUGAGGUUGAAAAGAGCAAUUUGCUCGAAGAGGGGUCUGCGCCUGAUUAGCUAGUUGGUGAGGAACGGCUCACCAAGGCUUCGAUCAGUAGCCGUCCUGAGAGGGAGCACGGCC
rnacentral:rRNA from 1 species